GGAGUUAGCCGGUGCUUCUUCUGUGAGUGAUGUCCUUCCUGCCGGCUAUUAACCCGCAGGCCUUCUUCCUCACUGAAAGUGCUUUACAACCCGAAGGCCUUCUUCACACACGCGGCAUGGCUGGAUCAGGGUUGCCCCCAUUGUCCAAUAUUCCCCACUGCUGCCUCCCGUAGGAGUCUGGGCCGUGUCUCAGUCCCAGUGUGGCUGAUCAUCCUCUCAGACCAGCUACGGAUCGUCGCCUUGGUGAGCCGUUACCUCACCAACCAGCUAAUCCGACAUAGGCUCAUCCGAUAGCGCGAGGCCCGAAGGUCCCCCGCUUUCCCCCGUAGGGCGUAUGCGGUAUUAGCCUGGGUUUCCCCCAGGUUAUCCCCCGACUACCGGGCAGAUUCCUAUGCAUUACUCACCCGUCCGCCGCUCGCCACCAGGGAGCAAGCUCCCCGUGCUGCCGCUCGACUUGCAUGUGUUAGGCCUGCCGCCAGCGUUCAAUCUGAGCAGANCAACUACUGA
rnacentral:rRNA from 1 species